rnacentral:lncRNA from 1 species
GACCCUGGGUAUUUAAACCCCGCUUGGGAGCCCUUCGAAGGCCAAGCACCUCGACGUCCUUUGGGAACCAAGAGAGAAACCCGUGGCCCUCUCCUUCGAACCCAAUCGCCACGAUGGAGAAGGUUCUCCGGCGACGCGUCCGUGGUUUCAGGUGAGGUUUCCUUAUUUCUUUUCUUUUACUCUUGUCUAUUUCCGUAUAUAAAAAAGAAAAAUAAAAAAAACAAAAUAAGUGAACUCAGAUCUUAGAACGAAAGUGAAAAUCAACCUUUUUUGAUUUCUUGCUACCCUUUGUUUAUGUUUGUUUCCAUCUCUCAUAUCUGUGUUACAAAAUCCUUUUUUUAUAUCAAAAAAGAAGAACCCCCUCCUCCUCUUACAAAAUAGUUUCGGUGGCUUAAUAUAGCCUUCCACAAUUUUCUCCUAUUUUUUGUUUUCUGUCUUUUCUUCUUUGUUUUUGCAGGUGCAAGUGGCAUGGGAGCGGCAGAGCAGGUGGAGCAAGUGAGCGGUGAUGGGACGAUGGCAGAAAGUAGGUGAACGGCGGAGUUGGUGGCGGUGGCAGAGGGUAGGUGAUGGGGUAUUGUAAUUGGGUCUGCUGGUAUGGGUUCUUUUGUUAGUGGGCCGGGCAGAAAUUGGGUAAGUUAAUUGGUUUUGUGUUUUGUUUUUUUGCUUGGGCUAGAGGUUAAUUGGGCCCGGGCAUGAAAAUUGGGCUUG